rnacentral:rRNA from 1 species
ACGGUCAUACCAUGCUGAAUAUACCGGUUCUCGUUAGAUCACCGAAGUCAAGCAUCAUUGGGCGCGGUCAGUACUUGGGUGGGUGACCACUUGGGAACACCGCGUGCCGUCG